rnacentral:misc_RNA from 1 species
AAAACCUCGAAAAUAAUUUUUGGUUUCUUUCCAGAAUAUAUUUUCAUUAUUCUUUUGGAAAUCACAAAGCAAAUAGUUUUGAAGUUGUGAGUGCUCAUGCUUAGAGAAGUGACUGUAAUUUCGUAAUAUUUCAUGCUUGAUGCCUAUUUGUUUUAUUCUGAGAGAGCAGUGGUUAUUGCUAGAAAUUAGAAGCGCUUGAUUCACAUACAUGACCUUUGAAAAGAUUGUGAGACAUGGUUGAUAAGUACGAAUUAUGAUAUAUUUUUGAAGAUGAACGAUAUGUUUAAUUAAGGAAGCAGAACAUGUAUUAGGUUGCGUGACUUUCAUACAUGGCCAAUAGAUUCUUUUAUUUAUAGCACUCUAUGUUUAGCAUUUUGGAUACUUCCUUUAUUCUCUUGUUUUCUUUAAUCUUUACCAUCACAAACCACAUUUCAGGAAUCAGAUAGGAAAAGCACAAA